UACGUAGGCAGCGAGCGUUGUUCGGAGUUACUGGGCGUAAAGGGUGUGUAGGCGGUUGUUUAAGUUUGGUGUGAAAUCUCCCGGCUCAACUGGGAGGGUGCGCCGAAUACUGAAUGACUUGGAGUGCGGGAGAGGAGAGUGGAAUUCCUGGUGUAGCGGUGAAAUGCGUAGAGACCCGGAGGAACACCAGUGGCGAAGGCGGCGUCCUGGCCUGCGACUGACGCUGUGGCGCGAAAGCUAGGGGAGCAAACGGG
rnacentral:rRNA from 1 species